GUGCUCACUUUGGCAGCCCAUAUACUAAAACUGGAGCAAUAUGGAGAAGAUUAGCAUGGCCCCUGUGUAAGGAUGACACACAAAUUCAUGAAGGUUCCAUAUUUUU
ensembl:snRNA U6 U6 spliceosomal RNA